GAUGAAGAACGUAGUGAAAUGCGAUAAGUAAUGUGAAUUGCAGAAUUCAGUGAAUCAUCGAAUCUUUGAACGCACCUUGCGCCCUUUGGACAUUCCGAAGGGCAUGCCUGUUUGAGUAUCAUGAACACCUCAACUCUCACGGCUUGUCCGUGAUGAGCUUGGACUUUGGGGGUCUUGCCGGCCUGUGGUCGGCUCCUCUCAAAUGGAUCAGCUUGCCAGUGUUUGGUGGCAUCACAGGUGUGAUAACUAUCUGCGCUUGUGGUUUUCCAUCAGAUAACCUUCAGUGAUAUGGAGGUUCGCUGGAGCUCACACAUGUCUCUCCUUAGUGAGGACAGCUCUUUGAACGUUUGAUCUCAAAUCAGGUAGGACUACCCGCUGAACUUAAGCAUAUCAAUAAGCGGAGGA
rnacentral:misc_RNA from 1 species